CUACAGAUAGCUAAGCCAGUCUGGGGCUAGUCAGGCCCACUUGACGCCCCCUCCCUGUGCUGAGCUCUGUGUGCAGUGGCUUCGAGAAGCUGAUGCCUGGUUGUGACUGCAGCUGGUCCCUUGUGUGUGUUGCUCUAAAGGAGCCCUGGAAACAUCA
ensembl:snoRNA SNORA70 Small nucleolar RNA SNORA70